UGGGGAAUAUUGGACAAUGGGCGCAAGCCUGAUCCAGCCAUGCCGCGUGAGUGAUGAAGGCCUUAGGGUUGUAAAGCUCUUUUAGCAGGGAAGAUAAUGACGGUACCUGCAGAAAAAGCCCCGGUUAACUUCGUGCCAGCAGCCGCGGUAAUACGAAGGGGGCUAGCGUUGCUCGGAAUUACUGGGCGUAAAGCGCACGUAGGCGGACUCUUAAGUCGGUGGUGAAAUCCUGGAGCUCAACUCCAGAACUGCCUUCGAUACUGGGAGUCUUGAGUUCGGGAGAGGUUAGUGGAACUGCGAGUGUAGAGGUGAAAUUCGUAGAUAUUCGCAAGAACACCAGUGGCGAAGGCGGCUCACUGGCCCGAUACUGACGCUGAGGUGCGAAAGCGUGGGGAGCAAACA
rnacentral:rRNA from 1 species